AUUGGAACGCCUUGCCAGAGCAGCACGUAGCAGGCCCCCGUGGAGGAUCCACACAGUGGCUGAACACUGGGAAGGAACUGGCGCUUGGAGUCUGGACAUCUAAAAGUUGCUCCAUUGGGUUAGAGUCUCCCCGAGCGAGCUGGUCUCGGCAAGUGGCGUCCAUUCGUGGAGGCUCGAAUCCAGGUCAAAGGGUUGCUGGAGCGACGGUUGGAAUGGAAAACUAGCUGGAAGACACCCAAGUACUCUUAAAGCAAUCCCCGUGUUCUGGAGGCUGGGAAGUCCAAGGUCAAGAUGCUGACAAAUGAUGAGAGCUUUCUUGCUGCAUCCUCACAUGGAAGAAGGUGGAAGGGCAAGAGAGAAGAAACUAAUGCUAGGAAAUGCCUCUUUUAAAAGGGACUUAGUCCCAUUAACAAAGAAGCAGGUCUUAUGGCCUAAUCAUCUCAUAAAAGCACCACCUCUUAAUACUA